GGCUCAUUAAAUCAGUUAUCGUUUAUUUGAUAGUGCCUUACUACAUGGAUACCUGUGGUAAUUCUAGAGCUAAUACAUGCUGAAAACCCCGACUUCGGGAGGGGUGUAUUUAUUAGAUAAAAAACCAACGCCCUUCGGGGCUCCUUGGUGAAUCAUGAUAACUUAACGAAUCGCAUGGCCUUGCGCCGGCGAUGGUUCAUUCAAAUUUCUGCCCUAUCAACUUUCGAUGGUAGGAUAGUGGCCUACCAUGGUGGCAACGGGUAACGGGGAAUUAGGGUUCGAUUCCGGAGAGGGAGCCUGAGAAACGGCUACCACAUCCAAGGAAGGCAGCAGGCGCGCAAAUUACCCAAUCCCGACACGGGGAGGUAGUGACAAUAAAUACUGAUACGGGGCUCUUUUGGGUCUCGUAAUUGGAAUGAGAGCAAUUUAAACCCCUCAACGAGGAACAAUUGGAGGGCAAGUCUGGUGCCAGCAGCCGCGGUAAUUCCAGCUCCAAUAGCGUAUAUUAAAGUUGUUGCAGUUAAAAAGCUCGUAGUUGAACCUUGGGCCUGGCUGGCCGGUCCGCCUCACCGCGAGUACUGGUCCGGCUGGGCCUUUCCUUCUGGGGAACCUCAUGGCCUUCACUGGCUGUGGGGGGAACCAGGACUUUUACUGUGAAAAAAUUAGAGUGUUCAAAGCAGGCCUUUGCUCGAAUACAUUAGCAUGGAAUAAUAGAAUAGGACGUGCGGUUCUAUUUUGUUGGUUUCUAGGACCGCCGUAAUGAUUAAUAGGGAUAGUCGGGGGCGUCAGUAUUCAGCUGUCAGAGGUGAAAUUCUUGGAUUUGCUGAAGACUAACUACUGCGAAAGCAUUCGCCAAGGAUGUUUUCAUUAAUCAGGGAACGAAAGUUAGGGGAUCGAAGACGAUCAGAUACCGUCGUAGUCUUAACCAUAAACUAUGCCGACUAGGGAUCGGACGGCGUUACUAUAAUGACCCGUUCGGCACCUUACGAGAAAUCAAAGUUUUUGGGUUCUGGGGGGAGUAUGGUCGCAAGGCUGAAACUUAAAGAAAUUGACGGAAGGGCACCACAAGGCGU
rnacentral:rRNA from 2 species